rnacentral:rRNA from 1 species
UACAGAGGUCUCAAGCGUUGUCCGGAAUCACUGGGCGUAAAGGGCGCGUAGGUGGCGCGGGUAGUCAUCGGUGAAAGCUCAGGGCUCAACCCUGAGUCGGCCGGUGAUACUCCCGUGCUUGAGUGUGGUAGAGGCCAAUGGAAUUCCGGGUGUAGCGGUGGAAUGCGUAGAGAUCCGGAAGAACACCGGUGGCGAAGGCGGUUGGCUGGGCCACAACUGACACUGAUGCGCGACAGCGUGGGGAGCAAACAGG